GAUGAACGCUAGCGGCAGGCUUAAUACAUGCAAGUCGAGGGGUAGCAAGAUUGUAGCAAUACAAUUGUUGACGACCGGCAAACGGGUGCGGAACACGUACACAACCUUCCUACAAGUGGGGAAUAGCCCAGAGAAAUUUGGAUUAAUACCCCGCAACAUAGCGAUGUGGCAUCACAUUGCUAUUAUAGCUUCGGCGCUUGUUGAUGGGUGUGCGGCUGAUUAGGUAGUUGGCGGGGAAACGGCCCACCAAGUCUACGAUCAGUAGCUGAUGUGAAAGCAUGAUCAGCCACACGGGCACUGAGACACGGUCCAGACUCCUACGGGAGGCAGCAGUGGGGAAUAUUGGACAAUGGGCGAAAGCCUGAUCCAGCCAUGCCGCGUGUGUGAAGAAGGUCUUCGGAUUGUAAAGCACUUUAAGUUGGGAGGAAGGGCAGCUAGUUAAUACCUGGUUGUUUUGACGUUACCAACAGAAUAAGCACCGGCUAACUUCGUGCCAGCAGCCGCCGUAAUAC
rnacentral:rRNA from 1 species